GAGGUAAAACUAGUCCCUCCUUAAUCAAGACCGAAACCUGAUCAGUCUGCUAAGGUUAGCUUAGCUUCGCACAAAGGCUGGAGAUGGGGGCACAGCGAGUCUGGCUCUACCCAAAGGCCAACAACACAACUGCAGGCCGCAGGUUGGGUCUCAGCUGUGGUUGGGAUGCACCAGGCCCAGCUCAGUGAUCCGGUGCGGCAAGACCGGUACAGACUUCACAAGCAUUAGCAUCGCUAAAAGACUAAACACAGAGAGCAGCCAUGCUAAGCUAAUGAAGCUAACUGCUAGGCUAGCAGACCUGAAGUAGCAAAUUAACAGAACAGGUGCCCGAAGUGAUCCGAUGGGCUAACCCCAGGACCAGGUGCAGGGUCCUCCACGUAAAUACAUAAGAAAACAGCACGUGGGCCUUCGGGUUCCUGCCUCCCUUUAAGCCAAUCAAAUGCUAGCACGUCUAAUUUGGUCACGGUGCCGACCCGAUGUGAUGUGUUGGUUUGAUCAAAUCCCAUCAAAGAGUCUUUUCUCACCUUCCUCUAACCCUGCAUCUGCCUGUCCUGACCAUGGACGGGUUACAAGACAUUGGGCCCCUGGACACAUAUAAGGCCCCCAGCCCAGUGGGGGUCAGACUGAGGAUGAUCUGUAGUCACCUUGUGUCUGUUUGCACCGGAUUUUACUGGUUCAUUUCAUUGAAAGGUUAAGAACUGUCCCUCAUGACUCUCAGAUCAAAGGUUCCCUGACCCUCUGGGCCUGGGCCUGCUGGACCCGUCCAGUAAUCCAUCCAUGCUCAGAACCACCUGUGUCUGUAACAAACAAAUUUACAGCCUGAAAUAAAAUAUUGAAGCAACGAUUCAAAGUCCCGACAGGUUUGGAUUAAAGUUGUGCUUUAAGACAACACGGCUCGAGCCAAAAGCAGGCGACGCUUUUACAAAACACACAGCGGCGACGUGACGGACACAGACGGACACGGACACAUUCAUCCACACACAAACAGAACCAUUAGUUAUCGCAAGAGUAAAAAUCUGCUACUGUCAAGUUCAUGAUUAUUUAUCUAUGGAAUUAAGUCAGAGUCUGGAUCUGUCUGUCCAACAGACACUGUCCAUCCAACCGGAGCAUGAAAGUGUUUUCAGGCUGGAAACCCCGUGCAUGUGGCUAAUGGUCACUUCUCCCAGACAGUCAAACACAAACACCUUCUAGCGAGCUGACAAAAUUAGGCCUGAGGCAAUAAAUACGAGCAGAUUGGUCCGGACUCUCAGGCCACAACAAGCAACAGGAGACGGCGAGAAAGGAAAGGAAAAACAAACAAACAAAAACAAAGAGACAGGCAGCCACGUCCUGACGGCUCGGAUCCACUUUCUCGUCCGAGCGCUUCCUCAGGACAGAGUCUGUUUGCAUCUUCUCAGAAGAGCUGUUCAGGUUUGAAUUGGGUCCAUGAGUGUAACAGGAUGUGAUGUCAGCACAGGAAGAGAAAAGCGGUGAUGUACAACAUUUUCCCAGACGCAGUUUAAUCUGCGUCCAGAUGCUGUGAUCGCCGAGGGUUUGGUCUGUCGGACGUCACAACCAGCCCGCGGCUUUUCCACGUCAACUUACCAAAACAAAGCAAAACUACUUCAGCAAGGAAACGUCCAAGUUCGUUACUGGCCGACACGUUUGACAGCAGAGGGGAAAACAAGAGGCGUGA
rnacentral:lncRNA from 1 species